UUAUCUUCAUCAACAUCUGCAUAAAUUUUUUGAUCAAAUUACCCAUACUGUAUUAGCUUUGAUGUCUUGUUUUUUUUUUAUCCAUGAUGUUUCUUGAAAUCUUACUGUUUUGAAUAAAACCGAAUCAGGUACCGAAGAAAGCAGGAACAUCUAGAAAGUAAACAGGAUUGGGGCAAAUACCAAUUUUAGAGUUUGUAAGUUGAUUAUGUCAAUGAAUAAUUUACAAUCUUUUAGACACAUAUUUAUUCAACUUCAAAACCAGAUAUUUAUUUUCUUUUUAGAAAAUCAGCUAAAAAUGCUUUUUUUUUCCUUAAUCUUAAAAGGAAUAUUGGUCUUUUACUGGUGGACUGAAAUUUAAAUCAUUUUCAGAAUCAACACUUACCUCUAGAGAAGGUUUAAUGGAGUGUGGAUAAGAUCACUUUGGGUUAAUUUCAGUCUUUCCCAUAAUGAGUUGGCUACAAAGACAUACAUCUUCUUUGCAUUUAUUCUCUUAGCAAGGCCCUUUGGUUCUUAAGUUUCACUCACAUCACUUCAUACCUAUAUUCAAAGAAACAGUUAUGGGUUUUUGUCUGCUUUGCCUUUAUCACAGACAAACAAUGGCCUUUAGGGUCAUGAUCUUUGGAUAUAUUAGGUAAAAUGACACUUUCAUUAUUUAAGUUUCCUCAUUAAUAGCUCUUUCUGACAAACGUUUGAUUUAUAACCCUUUGAAGCUAAUUGACAAAACUUUUUUCUCUCUAAAAAAUAUAACAAAACGUGGUGGAGCCAAUGUUUUAUAAUUGUCUAAUCAUUUUUGCUGCAUUCCGGAUCUGUGUUUUUAACUUGAUUAAAAUGCUGUUUUUUUGACUUUCUAACCAAAUUCCACUUUUUGAGUUUUCUUUUGUGAUCAAGAACACGACAAGACAUUACAUAAGUUUUACAAUUUUACUGAAAAUUUUCUUCGUGUUUCCAAACUCUUAGGUUUAGUAGUCUCCAUUGGGAAUCUUGGAACAUAACUUGGGGAUGUCUUGUUCUUGUUCUUGUUCAUGCUACUUCUUCUCUCUGAAUCACCAGACACCAUAACAGACUUAUAACCCUUGCAGCUCAACAAGAAACCACCACUUCUGCUGCCGCUAUUCGUUUUCCGAAUCUGCGGUGCAUUUUUGGUAGGGACCCGAGGAAUAUGAGAAGAGCGGUUUCUUCUUACAGGGCUUGUUGCACAUUCUGACAUAACCGAGAAACCUGCUGCACUUUCCGUCACUACGCUCCACUCUAUGCUUACUUCGCUCGGAGCAUAAUCACUUACUUGCCUUGUAAGAAAAGGCUUUGGUUUACCUGUAAGAUUGUCUAUCUCGAACAGAUCCGAGCUAGAAUCACUCCCUUCACUUCUUGAUUCCCAUGGAGGAAUUGUGUGUUUCUUCUCGAUAUUUACAGGAGAUCCAAACACUUCAGGAGACUUCCUAUGUACCAACUCUUCUUGCUUCUGAAUCUUGAUCGGUUCUGUGCUCAGAUUCACUGAAGAACUCAACUGAUUCUCGAUCUUGCUCCUAGUGGAAGCAGAGAUAUCUUGAUCAGAGCUUCUCUUAACCGAGAUCUUAUCAUCCACAUCAGAACAGCAUUUACACCUAAGGUUUGAGAGAAAGCUCUUCUUAUUGUUGUUCACCUUUUGAAUCUGACCACUAUUAGUCUUCUUGUCUUGCAAGGAACCGUUGCAGCUAUUCACCAGUUUGUUCUUAAGCAACAAGCUCUGACUAUUCCAGCUUGAUUCAGUACAGACACUCGCCGUUCCAGUAGAUUUCUUCUCUGUCUGCUUCAUUUCAACG
rnacentral:lncRNA from 1 species